CUUUAUAUAUGGCGGACUAGUUACGUGAAUUGAGACGUAUUUACUUUUAUAUAGGAGAGAUUAGCCCUCUUACCAAUACAUCUAUAUUGUGUCAAUAAACUACCGUUUUUCUAUUUUGCUUUAAAAUUAAUAGUGGUAUCAUUUUGGUAUCUUCUAUACUCAGAUUGUACACUCAUCCCUGCUUCUAGCCUAGAUGUGACUGACACCUUGAGCACAC